rnacentral:rRNA from 1 species
CCUACGGGAGGCAGCAGUGGGGAAUAUUGGACAAUGGGCGCAAGCUGGAUUCCAGCCAUACCGCGUGGGUGAAGAAGGCCUUCGGGUUGUAAAGCCCUUUUGUUGGGAAAGAAAUCCUAUCGGUUAAUAACCGGUGGGGAUGACGGUACCCAAAGAAUAAGCACCGGCUAACUUCGUGCCAGCAGCCGCGGUAAUACGAAGGGUGCCAAGCGUUACUCGGAAUUACUGGGCGUAAAGCGUGCGUAGGUGGUGGUUUAAGUCUGCUGUGAAAGCCCUGGGCUCAACCUGGGAAUUGCAGUGGAUACUGGAUUACUAGAGUGUGGUAGAGGGAUGCGGAAUUUCUGGUGUAGCAGUGAAAUGCGUAGAGAUCAGAAGGAACAUCCGUGGCGAAGGCGGCAUCCUGGGCCAACACUGACACUGAGGCACGAAAGCGUGGGGAGCAAACAGGAUUAGAUACCCUGGUAGUCCACGCCCUAAACGAUGCGAACUGGAUGUUGGGUGCAGCUUGGCACCCAGUAUCGAAGCCAACGCGUUAAGUUCGCCGCCUGGGGAGUACGGUCGCAAGACUGAAACUCAAAGGAAUUGACGGGG